UCUUGUAAAUUUCUCACUCAUUUUCUUUUAAAUUAAAAUAAUUUUUUGUUACGUAAUAUAUUUUUUUUCUCAAAUUAUUAUUAUUAUUAUUAUUUUAAUCCCUUUACCAAUCUGAACUGUUUCUGUACUGCCUACUCACUGGUAAAGUAUUCCUUUUGUGAGUAAAAUGCGCUCUUGUGAUUGAAGUGAACCCUACUCACCCCUUCUCUAUAAAGCUGGUUGCAAGAUUAUAUAUUGUAGAGUGGUCCAUGAGAUUUUGUAUGGGCAUGCUCCUUCUCUAUCUUUCCUCUCACUAUAUUUUCAUUGCAGGAAUAAAGAAGAAAGGAGGGGGAAAAAAGAGGAAGGGUUGUGAGUGAGAUCUGAGAAGAAUUUGAAGGUGGUGUCGUUGAUUCUUGCAAGUCCUGGUCAUGCUAUUCCACAGCUUUCUUGAACUUUCUUGUACUGAUUCUUUUGAUCUCUAUAGAUUGAAUAGGUAGCACCUUGGAAGCUCAAGAAAGCUGUGGGAAAACAUGGCAUUUCAGGAUUUUUUUUUUCUUGUUUUAUUAUUAUUAUUGUUUUUUUUUUUUUUUUUGCUUUGGGCGCUAUUUCUUGACCCUUUCCUGGAAAAGAUUAAAGAUCUCUCUUCAUUACUUGAUGAGAAGAACUGAAACUGCUUCAACCAUCUGUCUUUCUGCAUGAGUCAAGUUUUCACAUAUUUUGUGAGGUAAUUAUUGAGAAUUCUAUGAAGAAAAGCUGAAUUAUGAUGUGGUUUCUCAUCCUCCUCCUAGAUUUUCUUUCCCAUAAAAUUUUGCAUUUUCGGUUCUUGGGAGGGAAGAAUUAAGGCUGAUAAGCACAUGUUUGUGUUGAAAUAUACGUUUGAGCCAUGCAUGGUAAAAGGAGAAACAUUUCAGAAGUGAAAUUGCAGUAAAAAAAAAUUGAAGCAAAUGAUGAAGAAAUGGUUCGAUGAUUGAAUGAAAAAUGUGAAGAAGAAGAAGAGCGAGCGAAUGUGCAGAGAGAAGAUUCCUAACCUUUCCUUUUUAUCGUCAAUGAUGAUAGUUCUUCCUGUUGGCCUUUUGGUUUAGCUUCUAAUUUGAUCUCCUACAUUUCCGUGAAAAAGGUUAAACUUUGUCACUUUGUGACAUCAUUUUUUAACCACUCUCCUUCAACCUGACAUCAGUUUUAUUUUUAUUUUUCUUUUUCUUUACCCCUUCUUUCUCUUUCUCUUUCUCUCUCUGUGAUUCUGUGGUAUAGUCCUUUUUUUUUUGGUGGGAUCUCCACAGUUGUAGUUGAGGACACAUACAAUUCACAAUAAGGCUGAGACAUUAUAUCAUAAUUGACAUUUCCUAGCUGUCUAACUGAUUAACUGUCCAACCAGCAUAAUCAUUCUUCUUUCUUUACCAUCCCCUCUCCCCCACAACCACCAACCCACCCCCCACGCAACACAAACCCACCCCCCACCCCCCCCCCCCCCCCCCCUCUUUUCUCCUUUUGAUCUUGCUCAAAAUUAACUCUGCAUGAUUGCACUCUAAUGAAAGAUAAUCUCUAAUAAUAAUAGUGGAGCUAGGAGUAAUGGUUGUCGAGGUUCAAAAUUGCCUAUAAUUUCUUUCAUAAAUAUUUCAAAAGUUUAUCUAUGACAUCCAUGGAUUUAAAGUUUGUUUCAAUUAUAUAUAAUGUGCGUGUGUAAUGGCAAUAACUUUCAUGAUUUCUUUAAUUUCAAGAUUUUAUGAAUAAUUAACCGUA